UACGUAGGUGGCGAGCGUUGUCCGGAUUUAUUGGGUUUAAAGGGUGCGUAGGCGGCCUUGUAAGUCAGUGCUGAAAUAUCCCGGCUUAACCGGGAGGGUGGCAUUGAUACUGUGAGGCUAGAGUACAGAUGAGGUAGGCGGAAUUGACGGUGUAGCGGUGAAAUGCUUAGAUAUCGUCAAGAACACCGAUAGCGAAGGCAGCUUACUAGGCUGUUACUGACGCUGAUGCACGAAAGUGUGGGGAUCAAACAGG
rnacentral:rRNA from 1 species